UACGUAGGGUGCAAGCGUUGUCCGGAAUUAUUGGGCGUAAAGAGCUCGUAGGCGGUCUGUCGCGUCUGCUGUGAAAACUCAGGGCUUAACCCUGAGCUUGCAGUGGGUACGGGCAGACUAGAGUGCGGUAGGGGAGACUGGAAUUCCUGGUGUAGCGGUGAAAUGCGCAGAUAUCAGGAGGGAACACCGGUGGCGAAGGCGGGUCUCUGGG
rnacentral:rRNA from 1 species